rnacentral:rRNA from 1 species
GAUGAACGCUAGCUACAGGCUUAACACAUGCAAGUCGCAGGACUGGCGCACGGGUGAGUAACGCGUAUCCAAUCUUCCCAUAACUACGGGAUAACCCGUUGAAAGACGGCCUAAUACCGUAUGGUUAUGAAUGGGGAUGCGUCUGAUUAGCUUGUUGGCGGGGUAACGGCCCGCCAAGGCGACGAUCAGUAGGGGUUCAGAGAGGGAGGUGCCGCACGUGGGAACUGAGACACGGUCCAGACUCCUACGGGAGGCAGAAGUGAGGAAUAUUGGUCAAUGGGCGGUAGCCUGAACCAGCAAAGUAGCGUGCAGGAUGACGGCCUAUGGGUUGUAAACUGCUUUUAUGUGGGGAUAGGUACCACAUGAAUAAGGACCGGCUAAUUCCGUGCCAGCCGCCGCGGUAAUUC